GCCGUGACUGAAGCCGGCCGGCUCCAGGAAGGCAGGAAGCCUCGCGCCGCCGCAUGCCCCGCGUCGGCACUGUGUGGCAGUGCGCUAGUGCAGCACCACCCUGACUCCUCCUACUUGAGCUUGCACAGCGAAGGUAAGAUCUAGGGUCUGUUUGCUCAAUUUCGAAUAUUCCGAUGAAUGCCAAUGCAUUGCAUUGGUCCUAAAUAUUGCACUGCAGUUUGCAUUUUGCAAGCGGUAGCAUGGUAUGGCUAGUGAGAUUUCUAGCCUUCACGUUUCUGGAUCCGCCAACUGAGCCAAGGCAUGGCACACGCUGUGAAAACAGAAUUACCACCAAGUUGGUUGGCUUGGCUCCAGUGACUGAUGAAUAUACAUUAAACAUGAGCAAGAAAGAGCUGAAAAGUCAUUAUUUCCCCAAAAUUAUAUACACACUUUCGGCUUAUAUUGGGAAUGUAAAGUAUACACCAUAAAGUUUGAAGCCUUGGAAUAGCCUAUCGCCUAAGCAUUUUUCUGAACAAUGCAGUAUCACGGCUGCAGACUUGAUGUGCCUACCACCCAUUUUGCCUCUUAUUAGCUCGCUAUUGCAGCAAAUGAAUGCUGAAGGUUUCCUUUUGUUCCUUUUUAGGGACAGGUUUCCCUCUGUUCCGCUUGAAGGGCAGCAAUUUGACCAGAAAAAUAGAAGCUGCCCCAAAG
rnacentral:lncRNA from 1 species